GGAAAGAAACACCAGCAGACAUAUGAGACCCCUUGUAAACCUAAAAGGCGUUAAGGGGCGGUGUUUUUGUCUAUCAGUAGUUUUAAUGGGCCUUAGAACUUCCAUCUCUUUCCAGGAUCUGAUAUAAAGACCUUCCUUCUGCCUAAGGCGAGCUCGUCUCCGGAUAAGAAGCGAGAAAGAUGAAGAAGUCUCUUUGGCUUAAAGAGGGAGAGUUUUGCGGUUUCAAUACAAAAAGAUGAAGUCUUCUCCAUCUAUACAAAGACUGUAUUAGCAGGUCAAUCAAAUAGGGACUUUGGAAUCUACAUUAAGGAGAGGAAAUCGCAAGGAGAGGAAAACCAAGGCCGCACCUCGAUAACUUUCGAUUACUUGGACCUCAUUUGCUAAAAGCCUUAAAAAAUCAAUAACAAUAAAAAAGUUCAAAAAAGAGGACGCAAAGGAGUGUCGCUUUUGAUUCCAUUGAAGCAAAAAGCCAACUCGG
rnacentral:misc_RNA from 1 species